UUACGGUUUCCCCGCCAAAACCACUUCUCUGGGGCAUUCUGUCGAACAUCUAUGGACAUAUAUCAAACACAUUAUUUUAACUGUUACUAAUGUUGUGUCUGAUACAAUAAGCAUGGCAACCACAAAUUCAAUUGCUUUGCUCUUGUUGAAAAUAAGAAAGAACUGCAAACAGAGCUUGCAGCAUCGUUAGGAGAAGUAUGACAAAAGCAGCAAGAACGGAGAUGAUUGCCCACGGAGUGUUGAAAUAAUUGUGCCUCAAAUUGGCCAUCCACUUAUUACGACGCCUGCUGCGAUGGAAGUUCACUUUGUUAAAUACCUCCCAGUAAUAGAACUGCUUACCGAGUACAGCACCAUCACCAAGCUUGUGCAUUAAGGUUACAAUCACUUCAUCAUCUCCUAAAAUAUUAUCAAUUAUUCCACGAUGACGAAGUAAUUCAGCAUCCUUUGAAGAGUUGAUGAGGCAGCCCAACAAUUCAACAUAAUCUAUUACAUGCUUCGGAUUUAUAUCUUGGGAACACUGCUCGAAUGUAAUGAGAUUCUGAAAAAUAGUUUCUGUAGCAUCAGUAAUUUCCAGGGAUGGGAUCUUCAUUACCCCAUUUUCGAACUUAAUAUCGAACAAGGAAUCAUCCUUAUGGACCUCAAACAUCUCGAACUGGACUCCAGCCUCUUGAAUGCCGAUGGCAGAACAAAUGAAUCUCCAGUCACUAUUAUUUUUGCCAUUAUUCCGAAAUGCAUUGAUGCCUGCAGAUGAUGGAAGCCAGUUAUCGUGUAUCAAAUGGACUAGAUGUUUGACUUCAUUUAUGCGAUAAUCUUUAUCUCGAUAAACAUCAUCCCUUCGACAACCCUUUCCUGGUAAUAUGCCAUUGAAAAAACGAAGGAUCAUGAGAAGAAAGUUAUCAUCAUUUGAAUUAUUAGGCAUCUUAGUAAUGGUAAACAACUUCCAGAGAACAAAAAAUGGAAGUUGAUUCUCAAGCAAAAUCAUAUCUCGUGCUAUGGAAGGUAACAUCCAACUCAGUUUAAAAAUUGGGUCAUCAUCUCCUCUCAAGCGUGUCAAUGCAAACUUACGAAUAACCUCGACGAUAAAACAACCAUCGAGAAGCAUCAUUAGCACAAACUUAUCUGUCUCUAAACUUAGGGACCCUCCAUAACAAUUUUUAGCUCUUUCUUCCAUUGCCCUCAUGGCUAUGACAUAGUCUGGCAAAGGCUUGCUCGUACGGUCUAGAAGUUCUCUGAGAUAGCGUGUUUUGUGCACCUCAAAGGUCGAUAAUUCUUCUUUACCGUGAUGAUAAGGACCAAUUGCUAGCAUUUUUGGUUCAUAAGCCUUUUCAUUUAACUUACGCAGUACAUCAGGCACCUUAAAAAUGUUGAACCGAUCAGAUGGUGUAGCAGUUAGACCAUCAAGCUUUUCCUUAACAAGAUCAAGUACUCUGUCAGCUGAUGGACUUGCCAUGCCUUGAUCUGCAUUUUAAGUCACAGGAUCAAAAUUUCAAAAAUGUUGAAAUCUGUAUAUCCAUAAUUAUUGACAACCACAGAAGACACAAGUACUUGAAUUUUUCAUAAAAGCUACUAUGAUGGUCAGGAAUUAUGUUUGAAUUUUAAUAAAUCUAGCUAACACCUAGUGAUAGAUAAUAGUUUCGACAUCUAAGAAUUAUACUACUUGCACAGCAGGAGGGAGUGAAACAAAAUCAUCAAUAUUCAACAAUAACCCAUUAAUUGAAUGACCAAAAACAACUCAAAAAGUUAUAUAUUUGUUUCGAUUUCAAUUCUUUAUAUCCUUAGUAAUAGUUCCUACAGCACUAAGCCAGAUCAUGGAUCUCUACUGUCACACGACUAAAGAAACCAAGCAGAAUUCACACGAAGUCGAUUAAUGCUUCAGAGUUAUAAGAUAUAUUAUUCUAAACAAUUUUGUAAUAACUUACUCGUUUGAAGGCUACCGUUCCUGUUGCUUAACGAGAUCGCAAUCUUACCGGUGCAAUGACGAGAUCCCAGUCUUACCGUUGCAAGGAAUUCGAUCCUUUGUUUUCUUUUGAUGAAAUAAAGUAGUAGAAUGUUUACUAAUAAUACAAAGGAGACUUCACGCGGGUGUGGGCUCCAAUCCGAAAAUUUAAAAUAUUUUAAAAUGAUUCUGACCAUAAAUUCAGCAUUCAACAAAGCUCAAUUUUACAACAUUACCCCUUCAACUGUAAACUUUCUUGAACACUCUUCUUUCUCCCUCAAUUGUUUCUCUUCUUUUCAAAAAAAAUAAAAGAAAAGAAAAAUUGUUUCUCCUCAAUCUGAUGAAAAGCCACUUGAAACCAGAGCUCUUUUUUUUUUUUUUUAUAGUAAAAAUCUGUUUCAGAAUAUCAUCGAACAAGUUCUCUAGCUUAAAAUUAUCUUGACAAAUCUUUUUUAAUUUUUACUUUUUUUAUUAAAUAUACAUUUCACAAUAUCACAUGAAUUACAUACACAAGUAAAUUUUUUUAAUUUAAGCUAAAAAAGGAAGCCUAAUUCAUUUUACCAUCCGGCCAACCGAAAGUUAUUAUAGACUUAUAAUGUUCUUAAAAUUCACUCAAUAUACAAUUUAUUUCUUUAUUUUUAUUUUUUAUUGAAUGUAUCCCAAUAUUCACUUGUUUUUUUUAUUUUGAGUGAUUGUCUCACUCGCUGAUUCUAGAUUCGACAUGUGUCCCAUAACACAUCUUUUAUAUUUACCGAAAAGCACACUCGUAUUUUUGUCUUUUGCAUCAUUAUUUUAUUUGACUUAAACAUCAUCCUAUAACCUCACAAUAAUUACUUACACAAGUGAAUUUUAAUUUAAACUUAAAGCUUACUUGAUUUUAAUAAUUUUUAGAUUAUUUGAGUCAUUCUAUGUAGUAAAAGACUGUGUAUUUGUUUAAUAAUUAUAUUAUACAGUUUGUUAAAUUAUUUGGUCCUUUUUCAUUGUCAUUGAAAAAGAAUCUUUGAAAUUAUGUUUCCAUAAUUAUUAAAUUAAAUGGGUGCAUAUAAUGCUAAAUUUAUUAUAUAAAAUGUUAUUGUUUAUAUUUAUCCUUGCCCCAUUUUGAUCUUGUUAUGUUUGGAAUAUUUUACUCUAGCUAACUCUCCAAAUAAUUGAAAAGGUAUCAAGAAACAAUUUGUUUGUUUGUUGUUUGUUUAUUCAUUUAAAUCUAUGUGUGGUUCAAAAAAAAAAAAUUCAUGGAACUUAGAUAACUACAAAUAUAGUUCAAAUAAAUUUCUAAGUUUCUGGCUUCUCUGGGACUUGAGAUAAGUAGUUGAAAGUAAUUUCUUGAAAUUUAGGAGAAGUAAUUGGAACAAUUUUGGAGAAACAGUUGACGUGUUUGAUCAAAAGUAUUUUGCUUAAACUUUGAAAGGACAUUGUGGUAAAUAAAAAGUGGCAGGGCUUUAAUUAUAAUAAAUAUAUGGGAUGAUAGUUAAAUCAAGUAAGACAAUGAAUAUAAUAGACAAAAUAAACAAUAGAUAAGUAUAAAACUAUAAAUGAUGUUUGGACCUGCCGCCUAUGGUACAGAUUCUGUACCUAACAUCUCCCCCCGUCAUCCCACCAUCCCAUUUUCUAUUGUUUAAUUUCCCACUCCACAUCCAACGACAUCCAACGGCUGAUGCUGCAGUCUGUAGCUUACUGAUUCUGUAAGCUAGUCGAGUCCAUGAUGUUUAUGGAGCCUACAACACUUUUUAUCUCUCACGUGUCAAAUGCAAAAUGAGAGACCAUAGCAUUCGUCUUUUUAUUUUUUUCUGCUUUUCUUUUAAGAUUGACACUUUUUCCUCAUCGGCAUCACUUUCUACAAAUCAAUUCUAUUGGUAUAAGAUUGUUUUAUACCUUAAUUAAGGUCUUUGGUAAGUAUAGUUGUAUUAAAUAUUUUUUGAGAGAAUUUUAUCUUAAUGAAGAAUACGAAGAUUUUUUUUUUUUUACUAUAAUCUAUUUUGUAAAUAGUAAUUAAAAAAAUGAUUUCAAAUUUUUAGGUAAAAAUUAUUAUUACCACUUUUUUGGCUAAAACUUUUUCAAUGGAUGUGAAAAACUUCUUCUAAUUACUUGGGAGAACGUUUCGGUAAUGGUUUUGAUGGCUUUCCUCAGUAGAUUAAUUUAUUAUUUAGUUUGCUUUUGAGUUUUAGUACUUUUAAGUCUUUGUAGCUAAUUGACGUUUGCAAUAGAACUAGCAAUAAAUUAAAUUAUUUAACAGAAAGAAGCAUAUCCUAUCCAAAAAAAAAGAAAGAAAGAAGCAUAUAGUAUUCACAUCUUCAUCAGAUAUCAGAAUAAAUAAAUUAUUGUGGUGUAAAACUUCUGUACAAUUUCCAUCCAUCACCUGUUAUAUGUUUAUCCAAAAUCCAAUUCAGAGAGGAAGUAUCACCACUAGUCCACCUACGGCACACUAGAAUAAGAUCACUGUGUAAAAGCAAAGUAUAUAUGAACUGAUAGUGAAAUUUACUUGUUAAUUCCUAUCUUAAACGAAUUAAAUCCCAUUUUUCAAUAAUAAACUUGUUAAUUUCAAAUCACAGAUGAAGUACCACUAUUGAUAACUAAGAUGAAAGACUGAACUACGAACUAGCUGCGAAACUUACUUGUUAAAGGCUGCCUGCCUGCCCUUGCUCACUCAAUCUCCUAUCUUCUUUGCAGUGCUAGCUAACUCCUUAAUAAUUUCCUUACGGAAUGAAAACUUCGGUAGCCAAUGGCUCAUACUUAUAUACAGUAGUUAUUUGUCCAGUAGUUAAGACUCUAUUGCCUUGUGACUCAUACUUAUUUGUCCAGUAGUUAAGAUUCUAUGUCUUGGGUAGCUGUAAUCUAACGGUUCUGAUUUAACUCACUAUUCAUUCUCAAAACCCCAGUCAUUAAAUUUCACUCAUUAUAAUCUAACGGUUCCCAACAAACUGAUAAAUAAGGGGGGCACGGUGCCCAAGGGGCUGGUAGCUGGACCCAUAUUUUCGAAUGAUAUAAAUACACAAAAAGCCAAAGGCCAAAAAAUAAACGAAGGAGGGUCAUAAAUAUCUCUCCUCGUGGCUGGUGAGAUUGGCUGUAGUUAUCAUUUUUACAUUUCAAAAGCCACCGUACUUGUCAACAGUCAUAAUUACAUGUUUGCAUGUACUCCAAUCUUGCCUGCCAAUAAAACAUUUUGAGGAGUGCUAGAAACAGUCGCUUGUUUCUUGUGUUGACACGUGUUUUUCUUUUCAGUUCAUUUAUGGCUAUUUAAUUUUACCAUAAUAUCCUUAUUAAAUCUUCUUCCAUGAAGCGCUUUUUUUUUUUUUUUUAAAACCAAUCAUGCAUAAUCCAUUUAUGACCAUCACUCAAUUCAUUUUCUCUCUGCAGGCCAAACCAAACCCAACACCAGAACAGAACCGCUUUCCCAAGCGUGAAAGAGAAAGAGAGAAUAAUGGAGGUGAGGCUCUCCAUUUUAUGGUGGCAGCAGAGGAAUCCCAUGCAUCCAUCCGCCUUUUUCUAUGAAGCUUUAAUUUAAUAAGUUCUUAUGAAAAUUUUUCUUUUUAGAAAAAGUUAAAACAAAAACCCAGCUUAAGAGAUGACUAUCCUGAAAUUUGCAAGACUUCUGAUUUUUUUUUUUUUGGUGUUAUACUGAAGAUUUUAUUUAUAAGCAGAUCUAAACCCUUUUUGGAUGGUUGAAAAAAUUGGAGCAACUUUUUGUUGGGGAAGAAUGAAAGUGGUUCGAAGAGAUAUUGAUGAGUAAUGGGUGAGAGUGGAUUUGAGAGUGAGGAUAAUGGCCAUUGAUGAAAUGGCGAAAUCGAGUGAGUUUAGUGAGACAAAGAGGGAGAAGGCUUGAGGGCCCGAAAUGGAUGGAGGAAAAAUUGAGGAAGAGAAGAAUGAAAAAUGGAUUGAAGGAUAAAUCUGUAAUUUAAAAAUGAUGUUUUUUUAUAAUGAAUAAAAGUUUGGAGUGUUACGCAACUACAAAACUGACAUCUUUAUAAUAAAUACAAACAUAUUAUUAAAAUAAAUACAAUAAUUUAAAGUUUUAAUAUUACUUUAAAUGUUAAAAAUAAUUUAGUAUUAUUAAUCUACUAAAAAGAUUAUAUUAUUUUAUAUUACAUCUGUGUUAAUUAAAAACCUUUAAAGUUAAUCUUAUAAUUAUUUCAUUCAAAGGAUAUUAUAAUUAAAAAAUAAUUUUAAUGUUCUUUUUUAAAAAUUUAAGAGUUUUCGUGAUUAUUUUUUAAAAUUUUGCAAGUGUACGUAUCUUUUUAUCCUUUAGCAUAUGAAAAAAUAAUAUGUUUUAUUAUAAAAAAUUUUAAUAUUAAAUUUAGUAGGUUUGAUUAUAAAACUUAUUAUGUGUCCAUUUUAAAAUCUCAGCACUUUAAUAUAUAACUAAUGAUACAGCCACAAACUCUUGUACAAACUUAUUUUAUACAAACUGACGUGGCAUUAAUUCAUUGGUUGAAUGAAAAUAUAAAUUAAUAAAAACAAAUCAUGUGGGCCAAGUGAUAUUUAAUUCAAUCAAUCUUAUCAUGCCACAUCAGUUUAUAUAAAAUAAGUUUGUACAAGAGUUUGUAGCUGUAUCAUUACUCUUAAUAUAUUGAGAUAGAGUAAUGAUAAAGUCAAAAAUUUUUGUAUAAAUUUAUUUUAUAUAAACUUAAAUGAAAAUAUAAAAUAAUAAAAAUAAAUUAUGUAAAUUUAGAUAUAUUUAAUUUAAUUAAUUUUAAAAUACCACAAUAAUUUAUAUAAAAUAAAAUUUUAUAUCAUAAUUUGUGGAUAUUAGGAUAAUUCCGCACAAUUGCUUCUCAAGAAAAAGAUCAAGGAUCAGGUAGACAAAAUGUGUGGUAGCUAUGGUGUACACAGUACACGUCACCUCAAUUGACAAUUAGUGGGAGUGAAAAAAUCUAGCAAAAGUCUGGGUUACGUAACAUAUGUCGGUUAGGUGAAAAUGGUGGUUAAAACUUAAAAUCAAGGGUCCGCUUAUAAUAGAGUGCUGUGUAUUGCAACGUGUCUUCUCUCUCUUCAGAAAAUGAGCACACGUGAAUUUUAAAUUGAGCCCACGAUCAGUUUAAAAAAUUAAACUAAACAUUGCACGUGAUAGUUGAGGACAAAAAAUUAAAUUAAUUUUUUUAUUAUGAAGUAUGUAUUAUUUUUAACAUCCAUUUAACAUACAUAUUUUUUUAAUUUUAUAUUUAUCUUACAAUUAAUAUCUUUACAUGAUAGGAAUUUGAAGUUUUAUAAGCCUAUAUAUUUUCAUUUUAAUUGCAAAUAUCACUUUAUUAAUUUCACAAAAAUUAAAUCUAAUAUGAACCGUGAAAGAUUAUUUUAUUAAUAUCCUUUGAUUGUAAUUAUAAAAUUUUAUAUUAUUAAGAAUCACUACUUUUGUUAUGAUAAUUAAUAGUGACAAUAAAUAAAAUAUUACAUCCAAUAAUAUUUACAUGGGAAAAAAAGUGAAAGAAAAUUAUUUAUAUUUUUAGAUUUUUAUUGAUAUGGUAGAAAAUUAUCUCAGCUUUAUAAAAUUUAACUUUUACAAGUUUGUUUUCAUUUUAUUUUCAAAUGUCACUUUGUUAAGUUCAUAAAAAUUAAAUCUAACACAUAUUCCUAAUUAACUUUAGUUUAUAAAUUAUGGAAGAUAAUUUUAUUGUUAUUCUUUAAUAGUAAUUAUAAAAUUUUAUGCUACAAAAAGUCAUUACUUUUAUUAUGAUAAUGAAUAGUGACAAUAAGUAAAAUAUUACAUCAAAUAAUAUUUAAUGGAAAAAAUGAGGAAAAUAAUCAUUGUAUGUUUUUAUAUUUCCAUUAUAAAGAUAUGGUUUGGGAUACUUUAAUUUAAAAUUUUGGCACAAUAUUUGAGCCACUAAUAUCUCAUAGUCUAAUGGUUGAUAUUGAAAGUCAAAACAACAUUUCAUAAUGUUAUAUCCUCCACCAUUGAAUUGCAUGAAAUAAAUAGUUUAAUUUUUUGAUAAAAAAUAAAAUCAAAAUAUUUCUCACUCUAUAAUUAUAUAGAGAUAUAUAUUUUUCAAUAAUAAUUGGUGAAUAAAAUAUUUCUUAUUUGUUGUGACUCAUAUAGUAUUAUUAAUAAAACACAUAUAAAAUAGUUUAUUGCAAUGCUUUCUAUUAUCAUUAUUGUUUAGGUAUUAAUGGUUUGUAAUUAAAUUUAUACAAUACAAAUUAUUACAAGACUUUGUGUUAAAUAUACUUGAUAUUAUAUUUUAUACUUAAUGGUAACUGAUUUUGGAAGAUUUAUUUAAAAGAGAUUAUCAUAUUACAAAUUUAAAGGAGGGCUGAAAAGUAAUUUUAAAUAAAUAUACUAUUUAAGUGGAAUUGUUUCAAACUCUAAGGGUGGUUACAAUUAUUUUACAAAAAUUAUCCACCCACUUAAACUGUUACAAUUAUUUUUAAAUUAUUUUUUAGUACAAAUAUUGUAUACCAUUAAUUAGAUCUAAUGGUUCACAAUUGAUACAUUGUUGAUGCUGUAAAAAACUUUACAGCACAUAGAGUAACCCAACCCUUAUUUGAUUUUAUGGAUUAAUAAGUGGAAGUUCCACUAUUGCUUAAGUAAUGGAUUUCAUUAAUUUUGAAUAUUGGUUUUGCUAUUCAGCCAAAAAGCUCUGGAAGGGUGGGCGAAGACAGAGAAGCUUCCGUUUAAAAUAAAAAAUUAUAUAUAUUAUUUGAAUUUUAUUUGUUUGUACAAUUAGUUCAACCAAAUGCUUCAUUUUGAUUAAUAACAAACUAACUUUUAAUAUUUUGCUUGGUGAAUGGUGAUAAAGAGCUUCACGUCCCAGUAUAUGAUUUAGGUUUUAGAUUAAACAUAUUAAAAAGCCAAAGGCAAGAAAAUAAUUUUUAUUCAUCAGCUAUCUUCUAUUUUAUAAUGAUAUAAAUACGCAAAUUAUCCUAACAAUUACAAUAGAAAGUUAAAAGGAAAAUAAAUGAAAGAGAAUAGUAAUUAUCUGGUGGGAUUGAUGGUAGUUACGAUUAUGUCUAUUACAUUUUAAAAGUCAUCAUUACAUGACAUCAUUACAUUUUUGUAUGUGCUCCAUAAUUAUUAUGCUAGCUGCCAAUAAAACAUUUUUUCCAUUUUCCAGCAUAUGUUUGGAAUUGCAUUAGCCUAUGGAGAGAUCAAUUCUUAAUAAUAAAUUAAUGUCAUCAUCAAUAAUCCGUCUUGGGAUUUUCAUAAUCCGCUUUCAAACUUUAGAUCGAACAAAAAUUUUACCCUUUUAGAGAUAUUUAUAAUUAAAAAAAAAGUGAAAUAUUUUUUGUGGGAUAGAUUAAUAAUAUUUUCAUAGAAGAAAAAAAAGAUACAUACAUCCUCAAGAUUUAAAAAAAUAGUCAUAGAACAUCUUAAAUUUUUAAUAAGGGACACUAAAAUUCCAUUUUCACCAUGACCCUUUGACACUAUAAACUCAAAAUAUUGACCCCCAAAAAUUUUAUAAUAAAUAGAAAUAUGACAUUAAAAUAAAUAUAAUAAUAUAUAUUUAAAAUAAUUUUACAAUCUAUUAGAUUUAUUUUAUUAUAUUAAAAAAUUAAUAAUAAAUAAAAACAUAAUAUUAAAAUAAGUAAAAUUUAAUUAUUUUGAAUAUUAUAUAAAAGUUAAUUCUAAUAAUAUUAAUAGGGAGAUAUUUUGUUAAUUGUAAAAUCUAUUUAACCAAAGAUUUAUUUAAAAUCUUUAUAAUAAAUACAAAUCUAUUAUUAAAAUAAAUAUAAUAAUUUAAAAUUUUAAUAUUACUUUAAAUAUUAAAAAUAAUUUAAUAUUAUUAAUCUACUAGAAAGAUUAUAUUAUUUAUAUUAUGCUUGUAUUAAUUAAAAAUCUUUAAAGUUAAUCUUAUAAUUAUUUUAUUCAAAGGCUAUUAUAAUUAAAAAAUAAUUUUAGUGUUCUUUUUUUAAAAUUUAAGAGUUUUCAUGAUUAUUUUUUGCAAUUUUGAAAGUGUAGAUGUCUUUUUAUCCUUUGGCAUGUGAUAAAAUAAUAUGUUUUAUUAUGAAAAUUUUUAAUAUUAAAUUUAGUAGGUUUGAUUAUGAAAUUUGUUAUGUGUCCAAUUUAAAAUCUCAGUACUCCAGUACAUUGAGAUACUAGGACAAUUACGCACAAUUGCUUCUCAAGAAAAAGAUCAAGGAUCGGACGGACAAAAUAUGUGGUAAUUAUGGUGUACAAGUUACCUCAAUUAUUGGGAGUGAAAAAAUCUAGCAAAAGUCUGCUGAAAAUGGGUUACGUAACAUAUGUGGCCUAAGUGAAAUAUUUCAAGCACAUAUUAAUCUGAUCAGAUUAAACUAAAAGACUACCAAAGACCCCCCCAACUUAACAUAAAAAAUAGGGCCUAAGUGAAAUAUUUAACAGAUUAUGAUAAUUAUGAAUAAAAGAUUAAGAAUUAUGAAUGCCUAUUAAAACUCAAUUGGAAGAGGAUUUGUGUUUUGUUGUCUUCAGCAUUGAAGAUUUGCAAAUGUGAAACAUCAUGGUUAGUUGUAGGCUUUAGAGAUUCUAGAUGUAGGAAACGAAGUUAUUGAGUUAAAUUGUUUUUUAGAUUAGGAUAGGGAUUCUGAAGAACAAAAUAAUUAAUUUGAUUAAAUAUACUUAAGCCGCCAACUCUUUUAAUUAUAUAUAUACAUAUAGACACACACACACACCUAGGAUAGGGUUUAAUGUGGGCUUUUUAUAAAAUAAAAUUACAAGGGACUUAAAUAAAUACAGUUAACAUUAAAAUUAACAACCUACGCCAAAUAAAUAAUUGAAUUUAGGAGGAAAGUUUAGUUCAAGGGACUCUCGCCCCCUGUGGUCACUCGUUGGAUUCAUCAAUGUUCAUACGAAUAUUGGAGCCCCUACGCACCUGCGAACCAAACAUUUUACUUAUCAGAACAAAAACGAAGGGAAGAAGGGAAUAUCGUAUAGCAAUUGGAACGGUAGCAUUCAAACAAGUUGGCUCUGAUUAAAAAUUGUAUAAUAUAAUUUGUAUCUUAUAACUUUGAAGCAUUAAUCGACUUAUUAAAUGAUUUCCCUUACAUUAGUUAUUUCCUCUACCAAUGUUUAUGGAAGAAAUUAGUUAUUUAAAAGUUAUAUUUCCUCUACCAAUGUUUAUGGAAGAAAUUAGUUAUUUUUCUCUAUCUAAUUAGGAGGGGAAACAAAAGUCCCAACUUGAACCGACACCCUCAAGUUAUUACAUUUUAAAGUAAUCAUGUUGUAUUUGAUUUUAUGGAUUAAUAGUAAUUCUUCAAUUUUUCAACGUCUAGUGAUCCAAAAUCCACAUAAACUUUCCACAAAUAUGAAAAAAAGAUAAGAAAACAAAUCAAUAUAACAUGAUGCGCCAAAUCCAGUUUCUCUAGGGGGGAGGCCGAAUUUUGCUUCUCUACUUUAUACUUUGUGUUGUGCGAUAAAACUUCAAUUGUGAAAUAUCUCUUUAUAUAGGCACUAGAGUUUCACCAAAAUAGGAAAUCUUAAAAGACUUGGAUUCUUUCCAAAUAAGAGUUUCUUUCCUUUUUAUAAUUCCUAUGAAUUUGAAUAUGAAUAAAUCUGAUAUUCUUGUCUUAUUUGUCUCCUGAGAAAUAUAUAUAACAUUUAAUGACUUCUUGUUUGAACCAACUUCUUGCUCUAAAUAGAUCUCAUGCGCCAAUUAUUGAAUCUCACUAUUAAUUGACUUGAUAAAUUAGAUAUCUAAUUAAAUUAGGAAACAAAUAUUCAUAAUAAAUUAGAAUAUCACUAAAUUAAGGAAUUAAUAAAUUAAUUCCUAUUACAAGAUAUGUGUUUUCAACUGAUUUUGGGGUAGGAAAAUCCAAAAUCUAUCUUGAACAAUGAAUUUAUAUUUUUGAGGGAGAUGGGGUACCUCACUAGUAUAUAGUGUGUGGUGCGGUGUAUCUGAAAUUCGGAGGAGGUGAGAAUGGGAGAGAGAGUGGUAACAAUGAUGGAAGGUCAGAGACGAGAGAUGUGUCCUUCCAAAAUGAGCUUUACGCCUGCAAAACAAUGAAAUAGAGUUAGAGGUGAAGCCGGGGCACCCCGGCGUUCACACUCCGACGCUCAAGUUAGUAAACUCAAGCUUUUAUGGCAAAGAGAGCUAGCUAGCCCUCUGUAAAUUAGGGUUUAAGGUUGAAGAAAACCUAUUUUUUGGAGUGUGAGUGUUUUUGGGCGAAUGAGAGCAUGAUGGAGAAUGAAACCUAGGCGCCUUUAUAUAUGGAGUACCUCAGCUACCACGUGGCAUAUCCUUUUUGGCUAACGUCCUUUUACCUCUUUAUAAUUUUUGGGCCGUUAUCUGCAUGUUCGCAGCGUAUCUCAUCUUUUGGAAACGUGGCGCACGCUGGAGAGUGGUCCAGGGUACCUCUGCAGUAGUUGUCGGGUAGGCGGCUGGGGGCCACUGUCCUUGAGACAGUGUCCUUCACUUUUGGCAGAGGUAGCAGGCGGCUGUCCCUCCUUUUUGCACGUCGUUUGUUAUUCCUAAUUCUGAAAAAAUCGAAUAAUAUCUUUUAGGAGGCGGAGACGUUUCUCAUGGUGGAUAUUUUCGGAGGAUUCUCUUGCAUCCGCUUUGCCGGGUACCUCGAGUUACGUGGGGUACCCCUAUUUGUAUGGGGUACCUCUAUUUGUGUGGGAUACCCCUAUUUACACGGGGUUCCUCAAGUCAUGCCAGGCACCUCGGAUUGUGCAGGGUACCUCUAUUUACACGGGGUUCCUCAAGUCAUGCCGGGCACCUCGGAUUGUGCAGGGUACCCUCCGAUUGUACUAAAAUCAUUCCAUUGGUUGACACGUGGCGCUCUAUUGCCUUUCAUAUUUUUCCCUCAAACAAUAUGUAAUAAAUAAACUUCUAAUUUAACUAGACUUACCAUAAAAUGAUAACUUUAUAAAUAAUGACCUUAACAAAAAAAAAAAUUUCUUCAUCAAUUAUUAUCUAUUUUAAAAUGAUAUAAAUACACAAGCUACCGUAACAAUUACAAAAGAAAGUCAAAGGAAAGUAAAUGAAGAAAGUAGUAACUGUCUGGUAGGGUUGGUGAUAGUUAUCAUUACGUCUUUGACAUUUCAAAAGUUACUGUUGCUCGUCAAGAGACCUCAUUCCAUUUUUGCAUGUGUUCCGUAAUUAUUAUGCUUGCGGCUGCCCAUAAGACAUUUUUUCCAUUUUCAUCAUACGUUUGGACUUUGGAAUUGCAUUAGUCUCUCCAGAGAUCAUUUCUUAAUAAUAAAUUAAUAUCAUCAUCAAUAAUCGGUCUUGGGAUUUUCAUAAUCCGCUUUCAAACUUUAGAUCGAACAAAAAUUUUACCCUCAGGUUUUUAGAGAUAUUUGUAAUUGAAAAAUUUUGAAAAACUUUUUGUGGGAUAGUUUAAUAAUAUUUUCGUAUUAAAAAAAAAAGACACAUGCAUCCUCAAGAUUUAGAAAAAUACUCAUAAAGCAUCCCAAAUUUUUAAUAAAAGACACCAAAAUUCUUUUUUGAUCAUGACCCUUUGAUACUAUGAACUCAAAAAAUUGAUUCCAAAAUUUUUAUAAUAAAUAGAAAUAUAGCAUUAAAAUAAAUAUAAUAAUAUAUAUUUAAAACAAUUUUACAAUCUAUUAGAUUUAUUUUAUUAUAUUAAAAUUUUAUAAUAAUAAAUAAAAACAUAAUAUUAAAAUAAAUAAAUUUAAAUUAUUUUGAAUAUUAUAUAAAAGUUAAUUUUAAUAAUAUUAAUAGGAGAUAUUUUGUUAAUUGUAAAAUCUAUUUAACCAAAGAUUUAUUUAAAAUCUUUAUAAUAAAUACAAACAUAUUAUUAAAAUAAAUAUAAUAAUUUAAAAUUUUAAUAUCACUUUAAAUGUUAAAAAUAAUUUAAUAUCAUUAAUCCACUAGAAAGAUUAUAUUAUUUAUAUUACGUUUGUAUUAAUUAAAAACCUUUAAAGUUAAUCUUAUAAUUAUUUCAUUCAAAGGAUAUUAUAAUUAAAAAAUAAUUUUAGUGUUCUUUUUUUUUAAAUUUAAGAGUUUUCGUGAUUAUUUUUUAAAAUUUUGAAAGUGUAAGUGUCUUUUUAUCCUUUGGCAUAUAACAAAUAUUAUGUUUUAUUAUAAAAUUUUUAAGGAAAAUUCUAUGAUGCCGUGAUUAAAAUUACGGUAUCAAUGCCGUAGUUAUUAUGUACCAUUAGAUUAGAUCAACGGCACAUAAUAAUUAUAAUCAUAUAAAUUUUAUUUUUUCAACAGGUUACAACCUGGUUAACAUUUUUUUAUAAGUAAAAGUUAACCGAUUAAAAUUAAAAAGAAUUAUUAUAUUUUUUUAGAAAAUUAUUAUAACUGAUUUAUUUUAAAAUCACUCAUUCACGUUAAUUAGGGAUUAUGAUAGGACCGAAGUAAAACUUCAGCCGAUUCAUAUUGAGAGGAAAAGAGCAACUGAGUCUUUCUCCACUACCAACUCCACGUCAUCGCCGUUCCGCCGUUUUGUUUCAUCAUGUGUUGCGAAAGGGGUUGUUUCCCAGUGGCCAACUCGAAGAGGCUAAAGCUUGUUAAAUUCCAAAACACAUAAUCCUUGCAAACUAGAACGGGCAAAGGCUAUCUUUGAAUUGUGCUUUUUUUUCCUGUUUUUCGAGCCAGACUGCCCACCAAGUUAGCCAAUUCUUGGUACUAAUUUUGUCUUUUAGUAUUGAUUUUUGGGGAAUUCCUUUUUUCACCUUGAUUUUCUUUUGAAUUGUUUUAUAUCUACUUGAUUUUCUUUCUUUCACUCUUUUGUAUUCUUUGGUUUUCUUCAUCAAAAUUUACUGUUUUCACAUGUUAUCUUUAUUAUUUCCUGCUAAUUAAUUUUGUAUUGUAAAUAAUCUAUUUGUUGGACUUCCAGAGUGAGCAAGUUAAUUUGAUUUAAUUAGGUGCCUAUUAUAAUAGCUUUUCUGGUUUGUUGUAGGCAAUUCUAACUGUAUUCUACAUAAACUUCCAUAUGAUUAGAUCUUCAUAAAUGCAAAGGAUAAUAAUGUUAUAAGCCAUUGGCCUAAGAAAAUGUGUAAAUCUUCUAUUUGAGGUACAAAUUUUCUAUCAUAUGUUUUUUUUUAUUUUGUAUUUUUUCACAAAGAACUGGUUGUUAAGAUCCUAUUUCAUUAGUUGAAACUGAUUGAAAGGAGAUUACCCUUCGGCAGUUGGUGGGAAAGAUUUAAGUUCAUCUUUCUGGAUCUUCUACUUUAGACUUAUCAUUCAAGAAAGUGUCAAAACUCGAAUGGCUGUAAAACUUUGAACAGAUUAUUAAUUAAUUUAGGUGCAAGAUCUUUUAUAACACUUUAAUAAGUUAUUACCAUUGCAUUCUUUUUUUCUUUUCUUUGAGAAGAAACCAUUUAACUUUAGACUAACUUCCAAAUUUACCUUUGUAAUUUAGCUAAAUAGGUAAAUUUAUUCAAAAGCUUUCCUCCUCGCAAGCUUAAGGUACUUCAACUUUGCCUACAACUACAAGUUAAAGAGAAAUUAUCGUGAAAACCGUGCCACGGCCGUAGUAUUUAAAAUGUGCACAAGGAGCUUAGAGAACUGGGCUUUGUUUGAUUACAUGAAAGGAAAUGGACAAAAUUUAUGUUACAAAAGAAGCUUGGAGCUGAUAAAUGAUGCAGUAUGAGUGAACUUUUUGUCGCUCUUUGAGGAAUUUUUCUACAAAUUUUGAUAUAGCUAUUAUUUUGGUGAAUGAUUUAUUCUUUUCUUUUUUCUUCAAUAUUAUGAUUUUGUUUCCAUAUUUUAAUAGAAAUUAUUAAAAUUCUAAGGAAAUUGCACUAUUUAUCUCAAGAAAGUGGCUUAAUUCUACAGAUAUGACAUCAUAUUGAGUAAUGUUUCCAUAAUUACAAGCAUAAUAGUGGCUUAACUCCAUGAUUUGAGUAUUUUUGCCAUUAUUUUUAAAUGCUAUUUUCCCUUUUUUAAGAAAAAAAUUGUAAAAGAGGGAGGGUGGCUUGAUUGAAUGGUUAACAAUAAUGGUCCUCACUGGUUAACAAGAUAUAAUAGUACUAAAAUAUUUUCUUUUCGGUUGGUUUGUAAUGAGGAUGGUUUCAUUUAUAUUGUUCAAAUUAACAUGCUCUUGCACGCUGAGGAAAUUAUAUUGUUUAUGCCAUAAAAGUGACUUAAUUCUAUAAAUAUGAUAUCACACUGAGUAAUUCUAGUAAUAUAACAAUUCAUUAAAAAUAAGUCGUAAACAUCCUUAAAAGAUGAUAUUUAUUCUCCAUUUUACCUGCUCAUUAGUCAUUACCCAUCUCUCUUUACCCAACCAUUACCAAUUCUUGGCUAAUAACUACCCAACUUGUAAUUGUUAAUUACUUGAUCUUUAUCUAAAAAUUUUGUAAUUGUUAAUUAUUUGAUCUUUAUCUAAAAAUUUUGUAAUUGUUAAUUACUUGAUCUUUAUCUAAAAAUUAUACAAUCUUUUACCUUACUCCUAUGACAUUUAUAUUCAUACUUUAUUUAUAUUGAACUAUGAUUGCGUAUUUUUCUAAUUUCUUGGGUUAAAAAAAAAUUGAAAAGAGAUCAUAUAUUUUGAAAUUAGAUACUUUUGAUGGCAUAACUUAACUAAAUGAAUUAUGUUACAUUAGUUUGUAGAAAAUAAAUUUAUAGAAUAGUUUAUAUGAUAAAUAAAAUAAAAAUUAAGAUGCAAACAUAUAUACAUGCAAGAAACACUUGGCCUGACUUUUUAGUCAGAUUGACUUGACCCGAAUUUUCUAAACUUUGACUUGAAUUUAAGGGUCUAGGAUCAGGCUCAAGCCUAAAUAUUAGCACCCAAUUAAAUUUAGAUUAGGGUUCAGGCCCUACAUGCUUGACCUGACCCUAAAACUUAAAAACAUUGUUUAUAUAUGUUUAUUAUUUAUAUAAUAAUAUGGUUGCGAUCUUGAGUGAUUUUUAUUUUUAUGUUACUUUAAACAAUUUCUAAAGCUUUUAUGUUACUUUAAACUUUUUAGUCAAAUGUCCAUUUUUUAAUUUUAAAUUAAUUAAAAAUUAAAAAAAUUUGAAAGCAACUAUGAUCGGGCCUAGGCUUUCAAAUAAUGUUAGAGUUGUAAAUUGCAAGAAGAACUUGUAAACGAAACAAAAACUUAGAAAAAUGACAUAGAACUUGUAAAUUGACAUUAAGUGUGAAAUGAAACAAAAAAAGUGUAAACCACACAUAAUACUAGUAAAUUGAUGGAAAAAUUGGUAAAUUAAUGUUGGAGUUGUAAAUUGCAAGAAGAACUUGUAAACAAAACAAAAACUUAGAAAAAUGACAUAGAACUUGUAAAUUGACAUUAAAUGUGAAAUGAAACAAAAAAUUUGUAAACCACACAUAAAACUAGUAAAUUAAUAGAAAAAUGGGUAAAUUAAUGUUGGAGUUGUAAUUGGCAAGAAGAACUUGUAAACAAAACAAAAACUUAGAAAAAUGACAUAUAACUUGUAAAUUGACAUUAAGUGUAAAAUGAAACAAAAAAUAUGUAAAUCACACAUAAAACUAGUAAAUUAAUGGAAAAUUGGUAAAUUAAUGUUAGAGUUGUAAAUUAUAAGAAGAACUUGUAAACAAAACAAAAACUUAGAAAAAUGACAUAGAACUUGUAAAUUGACAUUAAGUGUGAAAUGAAACAAAAAAUAUGUAAAUCACACAUAAAACUAGUAAAUUAAUGGAAAAAUUGGUAAAUUAAUAUUGGAGUUGUAAAUUGAAAGAAGAACUUGUAAACAAAACAAAAACUUAGAAAAAUGACAUAUAACUUGUACAUUUACAUUAAGUGUGAAAUAAAACAAAAAAUGUGUAAAUCACACAAAAAAUUAGUAAAUUGAUGGAAAAAUGUGUAAAUCACACAAAAAAUUAGUAAAUUGAUGGAAAAAUGAGUAAAUUAAUGUUGGAGUUGUAAAUUGUAAGAAGAACUUGUAAACAAAACAAAAACUUAGAAAAAUGACAUAGAACUUGUAAAUUGACAUUAAGUGUGAAAUAAAACAAAAAUGUGUAAAUCACACAUAAAACUAGUAAAUUGAUGGAAAAAUGAGUAAAUUAAUGUUGGAGUUGUAAAUUGUAAGAAGAACUUGUAAACAAAACAAAAACUUAGAAAAAUGACAUAAAACUUGUAAAUUGACAUUAAGUGUGAAAUAAAACAAAAAAUAUGUAAGUCACACAUAAAACUAGUAAAUUGAUGAAAAAAUUGGUAAAUUAAUGUUAGAGUUGUAAAUUAUAAGAAGAACUUGUAAACAAAACAAAAACUUAGAAAAAUGACAUAGAACUUGUAAAUUUACAUUAAGUGUGAAAUAAAACAAAAAAUGUGUAAAUCACACAAAAAACUAGUAAAUUGAUGGAAAACUUGGUAAAUUAAUGUUGGAGUUGUAAAUUGUAAGAAGAACUUGUAAACAAAACAAAAACUUAGAAAAAUGACAUAGAACUUGUAAAUUGACAUUAAGUGUGAAAUAAAAUAAAAAAUGUGUAAAUCACACAUAAAACUAGUAAAUUGAUGGAAAAAUGAGUAAAUUAAUGUUGGAGUUGUAAAUUGUAAGAAGAACUUGUAAACAAAACAAAAGCUUAGAAAAAUGACAUAAAACUUGUAAAUUGACAUUAAGUGUGAAAUAAAACAAAAAAUGUGUAAAUCACACAAAAAACUAGUAAAUUGAUGGAAAAAUUGGUAAAUUAAUGUUGGAGUUGUAAAUUGUAAGAAGAACUUGUAAACAAAACAAAAACUUAGAAAAAUGACAUAGAACUUGUAAAUUGACAUUAAGUGUGAAAUAAAAUAAAAAAUGUGUAAAUCACACAUAAAACUAGUAAAUUGAUGGAAAAAUGAGUAAAUUAAUGUUGGAGUUGUAAAUUGUAAGAAGAACUUGUAAACAAAACAAAACUUAGAAAAAUGACAUAAAACUUGUAAAUUGACAUUAAGUGUGAAAUAAAACAAAAAAUAUGUAAGUCACACAUAAAACUAGUAAAUUAAUGGAAAAAUUGGUAAAUUAAUGUUAGAGUUGUAAAUUGUAAGAAGAACUUGUAAACAAAACAAAAACUUAGAAAAAUGACAUAGAACUUGUAAAUUGACAUUAAGUGUGAAAUAAAACAAAAAAUGUAUAAAUCACACAAAAAACUAGUAAAUUGAUGGAAAAAUGAGUAAAUUAAUAUUGGAGUUGUAAAUUGUAAGAAUAACUUGUAAACAAAACAAAAACUUAGAAAAAUGACAUAGAACUUGUAAAUUGACAUUAAGUGUGAAAUUGAACAAAAAAUUUGUAAAUCACACAUAAAACUAGUAAAUUAAUGAAAAAAUAGGUAAAUUAAUGUUAGAGUUGUAAAUUAUAAGAAGAACUUGUAAACAAAACAAAAACUUGUAAAUGUUGCAUAAAACUUGUAAAUCAACAUUAACUUGUAAAAGUUUCAUAAAACUUGUAAAUCACACAUAAAAUAGUAAAUGUAACCUGGAACUUGAACAAAAAAGAGUAAUUACCUGCUACUUAGGUAACAUGUUAUCUAUUUAUUUAGAAUUAAUGGUAGAAAUUUUUUAUUCAAAUCUAACGGUUCACGUCCAUUACGGCAUCAAUGCCGUAAAUUUAGUUACGGCAUUAUAGAAUGACCCAAUUUUUAAUAUUAAAUUUAGUAGGUUAGAUUAUGAAACUUAUUACGUGUCCAUUUUAAAAUAUCUGCACUUCAGUAUAUUGAGAUAUUAGGAUAAUUACGCACAAUUGCUUCUCAAGAAAAAGAUCAAGGAUCGGGUAGACAAAAUGUGUGGUAAUUAUGGUGUGCAAGUCACCUCAAUCAUUAUUAUUAUUAUUCUAAAAGGCUACCAAAGACCCCCUCAACUUAACAUAAAAAAUAGGGCCUAAGUGAAAUAUUUAACAAAUUAUGAUAAUUAUGAAUAAAAGAUGAAGAAUUAUGAAUGCCUAUUAGAACUUAAUUGGAAGAGGAUUUGGGUUUUGCUGUCUUCAGCCUUGAAGAUUUGCAAAUGUGAAACAUCAUGGUUUGUUGUAGGCUUUAGAGAUUCUAGAUGUAGGAAACGAAGUUAUUGAGUCAAAUUGUUUUUUAGAUUAGGAUAGGGAUUCUGAAGAACAAAAUAAAUAAUUUGAUUAAAUAUAUACAUAUAGACAGACACACACACAUAGGAUAGAGUUUAAUGUGGGCUUUUUAUAAAAUAAAAUUACAAGGGACUUAAAUAAAUACAGUUAACAUUAAAAUUAACUACCUACGCCAAAUAAAUAAUUGAAUUUAGGAGGAAAGUUUAGUUCAAGGGACUCUCGCCCCCUGUGGUCACUCGUUGGAUUCAUCAAUGUUCGUACGAAUAUUGGAGCCCCUACGCACCUGCAAACCAAACAUUUUACUUAUCAGAACAAAAACGAAGGGAAGAAGGGAAUAUCGUAUAGCAAUUGGAACGGUAGCAUUCAAACAAUUUGGCUCUGAUUAAAAAUUGUAUAAUAUAAUUUGUAUCUUAUAACUUUGAAGCAUUAAUCGACUUAUUAAAUGAUUUCCCUUGCAUGGUAUUGUACCCUUGAAUUUUGCUUCUUUUCUUUAGCCGUGUGAGACACAGGAUCCCUGAUCUGGCUCAGUGCUUAUUCUCUUUAAAUGUUGAAACUAUUAUCAAUCACUUUGCUUGUCCCGGAAUUUAUUAAACUGCAGUCUUAAUUACUGACAUUUAAACGCAAAAUUCCAAGUACUUGUGUGGCACUUUUAAUUUGGUUGUCCACAAUUUAGUAAAAUUCAGAUUUCAACAUUUGUGCCUCUGUGUAUAUUUAAAUGCAGAUCAAGUCAUGGCAAGUGAACCACCUAAAAUGGUACUUGAUCUUGUUGGAGAAAAGCUUCAUCGCCCAACCCUGCACCUUCUCAAUUCAGCAUUUUCGGAGUCCCAGAUGUACUGCGCAAGUUAAAUGAAAAGGCUUACGAACCAGAAUUACUAGCAAUCGGUCCUUACCAUCACAGUAAACGUCACUUAUCGGCCUUUGAAGAGCACAAAAUCAGCUAUCAUCAAACUCUCAUAGAGCGAACGGGUAUACGUUAUGCAGAGUAUGUGAGGGCAAUGUGGGCACUGGAAGAAAGAGCUCGAAAUUGUUACGGAGGAUCCAUAAGUUUUGGCAAGAACGAGUUUGUUCAAAUGAUGUUUUGUCGAUAGUUGUUUCAUUGUUGAGGUUAUUCGUAAGUUUGGAUUGCCACAUUUGAGAGGAGAUGAUGGCCCCAUUUUUAAACAAGGAUGGAUGUUACCUCAUGUAGGAAGAGAUAUGAUUUUCCUUAACAAUCAACUUCCACUUUUCGUUGUUUGGAAGUUGUUUAUAAUGUCUGAGAUGUCUAAUAUUCCAAGGAACGAAAUUUACACUAUCAAGACAUUCAUGCUUUUAUUCUAGGAACUUUGCAUAUUUGUUGUUUGGUAGAAAAGGAGUGUCACGGAAUAGAGAAAAGUUCCACCCCACCUUUAGUCUGAUAAUAUGCCUCUCUGUUAAGUCUUUAGGUGUCUUGUUUUUAGCAUAUAUAUAGCAGAAGUCCAGCAGCUAACUCGUCCUUUACAUUGAACAAAUCUUAAUUAGCUGAGAAAAAAUUCAUAAGUUGAACAAAUAUUAAUUAGCUGAGAACUAAUCAUGAGUAGUAUUAGGGUCCGUUUGGGCUUGAGGUUGGUCAAUGUGUUUGGUAAACACUAAUCCAGGUACAUUGGUGAAAUCUUGAUCUUUGUACGACUUUUUCGUGAAUCAAUUCCUUAAAUUAGCACAAUAUUUCCCAUGAAGUUAUGCACACACCAAAUCAUGGUUCCUAUUCUAAUCUUAAUUAGACUGCAAGUAAUUCUGCUGUGCGCUCUGGCUUGUAGCAUUUUUUUUGGUCUUUAAUUUCGAAAGAUGAUAAUUAUUGUUAAUUCUUGAAUCACAUUUCAGGCAAGAUGUCGGGAACUGCCUUUACAUGAAGAGAAAGGCAUUAUAUGGCAAGUUUUCGCAGAAAGGUGUUGGGAAAAUAUGCUCUUUAAAAGCAUAUGUGUUUAUUUAAUUGUAAUAAACAUUUUUUCUGAUUAAUAAAAUAAAUGAGGUAUUUUAUUCAAAUAUCUUAAUUGCAUUAAUAUUUGUAUUAAAGUCCAUUUAAUCAUAUUAUAUGUAUUUAUGUGAUCACUAUGUGGAUUCACAGAAGACAUAAAUACAAGUUAUCUUAUGAUUAAAUAAAUUUAGUUCGCAGUUGAUAAAUAAAGUUGGGCACUUUAUUUAGGUAUAGACUGUAAUAAAUUCAUUGAAUGAUUUGUCUUAAUCAUGUAUGAAUUUAUUGAUGUAGUACGACUACAUUGAACAGGAUCACAUAUGAGAUUUAAUUAACUUUGUAAUAACUGUCAGACUUAUUAAAUCUCAUAGGCGUUGAUUUUACUGUAAUCUUAAUCUUGAGUUAAUUAUGAUUUCAUGAUUGUGAUUGUUAUUUCAUUUGAGUUACCAAUGGGCACGACACAUCCUUGUGGUCAAGAUUACCCGGUAUCUUGGUGGGAGCAAUUAUGAGUAUUGGAGUUAUGGAUUAACAAUAUAGAAUUUGUACAACACAUCUCUUGAUAGGUUUUCGGUACUUGAUCAUAAAAUUCUCUGGCCAGAGUGUAUCAACAUAUUUAGUAUGUUGAAAAUGAUCAUUAGAGAAAACCAGUAAGGAUCAAUGAAUAAGAUGUUAUUAAAUUGAUUGGACAGUUGAGAUAUCAAUUUAAUUAACGAUGUGGUACAAAGGAUUGUGCAGUAAAGAAAUCAAUGUGGCUUGGGACGAAUUAUUAUUCGAGCAUACAAUUAUGGAAGUCAGUUCCAAUCUUUUAGUGGAGUAGAUUUGGAAUUAAAUAAUUGGGCUAGUUUAAUUACAGGCCUAAUUAUUGUAGCCACUAUUGUAUGUUCCCAAAUGAUCCCCGGGUUAGCUCAUUUAAUUGACUGCACCACUACUGGACUAAUAAGUAAGAUAACUAGCUAUUUGGGUCAAAAGCCUAAAUAUAUCAUUUAGUGGGAGGCUCCAUUUAAUUAGCUUUUGUAUAAUGGGCCUUAUGUUAUUUUACAAGGUGGGUCCCCUAUUGAAAAAGAAAAUAACGUGAGUUUUAUGAAGGGUAUUACUAGGAGCCUAGGGUUUUCACUAAAGGGUGAUAUAAAAGGCUUAUUUUUCCCAAAAGAAAAAAGAGAAGCCACUUUAUAUAAAUCAGAGAAUAAGAUUUUUCUCUCCAUUGUUGAGAGAAAAAUUUUCUCGUGCUAGUUGCUUUGGUAGUGAUAAAGGCGCCCACACGUCAAGUGCAGAUCGAACCUGAGUCAUAACCUGGAAGAUCAUAGGAGACAGUUCGUGAUCUAACAAGCGUGGUGGUGACGGAUCGUGAUCUAACAGGAGUGGUGGUGGCGGAUCGUGAUCUAGGAGCCUAAAUCACUUCAGCGGAAAAAGCAAACUCAGAUUUACAAGGUACGAUUUCUAGAAUACGAAUUCUUAUAUAUUAUAUGAGAGCGAUCUUCAAAAGGUUUUAUAAAAAAUUAAAAAUCUAAUUUUUCCCCAACAAUUGGUAUCAGAGCCAUCUCAUAUUAAUAUAUAAGAAUUUCGUAUGAAAUCAUUCUUGAAAUUUAUGUAUUAGAGUGGCACAAUUUAUUCAGAUAUAUAUUAAUUGUUUAAUAUAUGAAUAAAGCAUGUUUUGGUUUGUCUUAAUUCAUGGUUAGAUUUUCCGUUGUAUUUUUCGUUUGGAUCUGUAACAAGAGGGGUGGCUUUUUAUCACCAUAAUUCCCUCUUGAUUUAUUUUACUGUAAUUGAAAUUUUGUAAGCCAAAAUUUGCGUUGAAAAUUUGUAAAUCACCGAAGCAUCAUCACUGGAAAACGAGCGCAAACAAUGGAGGACGGAAAUUUCAGCAACGGCCAGCAGCACACGCUGCUGUGCGAACAGCGCGCGGCCCGCGUGGGCAGCAACGCGCGCUGCACGCCCAGCAGUUGCCGCGUGCGCGCUGCAAGCCCGCAGAGCACGCUGUGACCAGCAGCUGCAGCGUGCAACCAGCAGCGUGAGCAAGGGCUUCUAGUUGCACGCGCGGGUUUGAUGCGUUUCCGGCGAGGCGGCAGCGGUUGGAGAUGUGUCGGAGAUCGGCGGCUGUCCGGUGUGAAACAGUGAACAAUGGUUGGAUGCCUUUGUGAUGAUGGCGGCUGGGGAAAGAAAAAUAUGGAUUUAGGGUUUCAUGGCUUUUGUCAUGGAGGUCCCUAUGGUUCCAUAAUUUUUUAUUUGGGCAGUCAAGUUUUAAUUUUUUGCAUUUAAGUCUAAAAACAGUUUUGGGCUUAAAGAAUCCUAGUUUUAGGCCCAAUUUCAAUUAGGCUUAAUGGAUUAAAAAUGCAUAGAUAAAAUUAAAUACAUUAAAUUUAUUUUUGGUCCAAAAGUUUUAUUUUAAUAAAAAUAAAAUUAAAACUAUUUAUUUUAUUUCAAAAUUAAAAUUGGACCAAUUAUAAAUUUAAAAGCCCAAUUUCCCCUAGUCCAUUAACAAAGACAAACUUAUGGAAGAUGGACAUUGACAAGAAGCCCAAUGAAGAUUAGGCUUAGGGUUAAUGUAUUUUUCAUUACUAGGAAAGCCAUGAAUUAAGAUUAUUUAAUUGUUUUUCUAUAUGUUAUGUUUUGGAUGAUAACAUGCCAUGAUAACAUGCCAUGAUAACAUGUCAUAUAGAAUAGGUAGUGCCACUCUAUGCAUAAUGAUACAUGUCAUUCAUUAAUAAUGAAUUUCAUUAUAUUGUUUGAAAUUUGUAUAUGCUUAAUAAUAUUUGAUAUCAUCUAGAUAAUAUUAUAGGAAGCAUGCAAUUAACAAUAUGUAUGUUUUAAAUAGGAAAAACCAAUUUUAAAAUAUUGAGUGGGAGAGGGAAAAUUCAAGAUAAUUUUCCCACGGGCUCCAUUGUUAGUUCAAUAAUAAAAUUAUAUAUAUACCUCGACUUCAUGAUACGGUGAUGCUCCCUACGGAGGGUAUAUAUAUUAGAUAUUUUAUUUGAUGAACUUCUUCAAAGAUAAAAUUGAAAUAUUUUUCAAUCGAUUGCUCACCCCAACGGUGACUAUUGAUAUGAAAAAUAUGUAGAUUGAAAUAAUGGUUAUACACUCAACUAAAAUUUGUUAUUAACCUUCCCAACGAAGCUCUGUUAACAAAUUUAGGCCCAAAAGGAUAACGAUAAUUAUUUAUCAUGUCUCUACAUGAAAGUAAAUAAUCCAAUGGAUAAUUGGGUCUAGUAAGUGUAGACAUGACUUCCCCAACGGAUAGCUUGUCAAAGCGGUACUAGAUUAUCGUUACAAUAAAUUAAAAUGCAUUUAUGGUUUUUUGCAUUUUUGUCAUUUAUUGUGAAUAUUAUUUCAAAUUAUUUAUGCAUGGAUGUUUUAUUUUUCAGAAAAUGUCUUCCCUGAGCCCACUUACUAUUAUUCUGAGUCAAAACAAACUCACUGGAGAGAACUAUAUAGAUUGGAAAAGAAAUCUAUUCAUUGUCCUGACUGCUGAAAAUUAUAAAUAUGUCUUAACCCAGCCAUGCCCUCCAGUUCCAGCAGAUGAUGCUCAUAGAAAUCAGAGGAGGCUUUAUGAGAAAUGGCAAAAGGCCAAUGAAAUGGCAAAGUGCUACAUUUUAGCCUCGAUUUCUAAUAUUCUGCAGACCAAACAUCAGAACUUAGAGACUGCCACUGAAAUAAUGGAUAGUCUCCAACAGAUGUUCGGGCAGAGUACUCGCUCUGCGAGACAAGCAGCGCUGAAAGGAAUUAUGAACAGUAAAAUGGGGAAGGGCACAAGAGUUCGUGAUCAUGUCCUCAAAAUGAUGGACUAUUUGAAUGAGGCUGAGAUUCAGGGAGCACAAAUCGAUGAUAACUCAAAGAUUGACAUGGUGCUAGAAUCUCUGCCAGAAACAUUCAAGGAGUUUAAGGUCAAUUAUAACAUGAACAAAAGAAACAUGACCUUAACUGAAUUGAUGAACGAACUUCAUUCUGCUGAAGAGAUCUAUCGUGCUGAGAAAUCUCUGGGAAGCAUAAAUAUUACUGAAAAAAGUUCAUCUUCUGGGCCUAAGCCGAAAGGCAAAGGUAAGAAGAAAGCUGGGAAAAAGAGACCGUCUACCAAGCAAGAUGGCAAGCCGAAAGGCAAAUGCUUCAAGUGUGGACAGAAAGGUCACUGGAAAAAGGAUUGCCCUAAGAUUGUGAAAUCAGGUAUGGGAAAUCUUUUUGUAAUUGAGGCCUGUUUAGUUCAGAAUCCUAUUGACACUUGGGUGUUGGAUUCAGGAGCAACUAAUCAUAUUUGUAAUUCACUUUAUUGGUUUCAGGAAACCAGGAAAAUAAGUGAAGGAAGCGUCAAGCUGCAGUUAGGGACAGGACAGUUCGUGUCAGCAGUGAAGACUGGAUCUGUUUUAUUAUCUUUUAAUAAUGAGACUUUAGUUUUGAAUAAUUGUCUUUAUGUUCCAGACAUUAAGAGGAAUUUAAUUUCAGUAGCUUGUUUGUCAAAGCAAGGGUACACUGUAAAUUUUGGAUCCUCUGUUUCUAUUUUUCAAAAUAAGAGACUUAUUUGUUCUGGUACAUUGGAAGAUAAUUUAUAUCAUUUAAGUCCAAUGAUCCAUUCUAUGCAUGACACAGUGAUAAAUAAUGAUGAGCAUACACACUUAUCUAAGAAAAGAAAUAUUUCUUCCAACCAAUGUUACCUCUGGCAUUUACGCUUGGGUCAUAUAAACCAAAAUAGGAUACAGAGAAUGAUCAAAGAUGGGCUCUUGGGUCCAUUAGAAAAUGAAUCAUUGCCACUCUGUGAAUCCUGUUUAGAAGGGAAAAUGACCAAAAGGCCAUUCUCGGCCAAAGGAGUACGUGCAACAGUACCACUUGAAUUGGUACAUACAGAUGUAUGUGGACCAAUCAAUGUACAAGCUCGAGGAGGUUAUGAGUAUUUCAUCACUUUUACUGAUGAUUACUCAAGAUACGGUUAUGUUUAUCUGAUGCGUCAUAAGUCUGAAGCUCUUGAGAAAUUCAAAGAGUAUAGGGCUGAGACAGAAAAGCAAUUAGAUAAGAACAUAAAGAAACUUCGAUCUGAUCGAGGUGGUGAAUUUCUCUCAGGAGAUUUCAAAGAGUAUCUGGUUGAAAAUGGGAUUAUAUCUCAAUUGACUGCCCCGGGAACACCACAACAAAAUGGGGUAGCUGAAAGAAGAAAUAGAACUCUUUUGGAUAUGGUGAGAUCUAUGCUUAGUUAUUCGUCAUUACCAAUCUCUUUUUGGGGAUUAGCACUGGAAACUGCAGUUUACCUUUUGAACUUAGUUCCAUCUAAGUCAGUGCCUAAAACCCCAAUAGAAUUAUGGUCAGGUCGCAAACCAAGUUUACGACAUGUCCGUAUUUGGGGAUCACCAGCACAUGUGCUGAAACCAAAGGCAGACAAAAUGGAUUCACGUUCUGAGGUUUGUAUGUUUGUGGGGUAUCCCAAAGGAACAAGGGGAGGUUUAUUUUAUAGUCCUCAAGAUAGGAAAGUGAUAGUGAGCACACAUUUCACUUCCCUCGAGGAAGACUAUAUGAAUAACUUCAAACCUAAGAGUAAGGUAAUACUUGAAGAACUGUCAGGUGAUCAGGUUGAUGCUCAGCUUUCAAUGCCUGUUACAGAACAGGAAGAACAGCAACAACCAGAUGAUCAACACAGGAUUAACCCUGAACAACCAUCACUUUUAGAACCUCGUCGUAGUGGGAGGGUAACUAGGUUACCUGCGAGAUACAUGCUUUUGGGAGAAACCUAUAUGGCUAUCUCAGAUGAACAUGUACAAGAUCCCACUAGUUACAACGAAGCUCUAAUAGAUAGAGAUGUUGAAUUUUGAAAAAGGCCAUGAAUCAAGAAAUGGAAUCUAUGUAUUCCAAAAAAAAAGUCUGGGAACUUGUAGAAGCGCCAAAUGGGGUAAAACCUAUAGGGUGCAAGUGGAUCUACAAGAGAAAAAGAGGAGUAGACGGAAAUGUGGAAACAUUUAAAACAAGAUUAGUAGCCGAAGGGUUUACUCAGAAAGGAGGAAUCAAUUAUAAGGAAACCUUUUCUCCGGUUGCUAUGCUUAAAUCCAUCAGGAUUCUGCUCUCCAUUGCUGCAGUGCUAGAUUAUGAAAUUUGGCAAAUGGAUGUCAAGACUGCCUUUCUUAACGGGCAUCUUGAAGAAAACAUCUACAUGCAGCAACCAGAUGGAUUUAUACAAAAAGGCCAAGAACACAUGGUAUGUAAGUUGCAGAGAUCAAUUUAUGGAUUGAAGCAAGCAUCCCGGUCAUGGAACAUCAGAUUUGAUCAAGCGAUAAAAUCGUUUGGAUUCAUUCAGAACAUUGAUGAACCAUGUGUGUACAAGAAAAUUCAAGAAAAAUUUGUAACCUUCCUAAUUCUUUAUGUAGACGAUAUUCUUCUAAUUGGAAACGAUAUAGGAGUGUUGACUACAAUAAAGAGUUGGUUAGCAGAACAAUUUGAUAUGAAAGACCUGGGAGAGGCAAGUUAUAUUCUUGGUAUCAAGUUACCACGAGACCGGAAGAAUAAAACUUUAGCCUUGUCUCAAGCGGUCUAUAUCGAUAAGAUAUUGGCUAGAUUUAGCAUGGAAAAUUCCAAGACUGGUUUAUUACCAUUCAGACAUGGAAUUACAUUCUCUAAGGAUCAAUCACCUAAAACAUCUGAAGAGAUAGAGAGAAUGAGACGAGUUCCCUAUGCAACACCUGUGGGAAGUCUCAUGUAUGUCAUGCUUUGCACUAGGCCAGACAUCUGUUUUGCGAUAGGGAUGGUUAGUCUAAUCCUGGACCUGAACACUGGACUGCGGUCAAGCAUAUAAUGAAGUAUCUGAAAAGAACUUAAAAUUAUAUGCUUGUGUAUUCUGGUGAUAAACUUAUUCUAGUGGGUUAUACUAAUUCUGAUUUUUUGUCAGAUAAGGAUUUUAGAAAAUCAACUUCCGGCUAUGUGUUUACAAUGGGAAGUGGAGCUAUUAGUUGGAUGAGUGUGAAACAAUCUUGUAUCACAGACUCAAUAACUAAAGCUGAAUAUGUGGCUACAUCUGAAGCUGCAAAGGAAGCUAUAUGGCUCUGCAAGUUCCUACGAAAUCUUGAGGUGGUACCUGUUGUAACUGCACCCCUUAAACUAUUAUGUGAUAAUGGUGGUGCGGUAGCUCAAUCUAAGGAACCAAGGAACCACAAGAAACAAAACAUAUUGAAAGGAAGUAUCAUCUUAUAAGGGAAUAGUGUAGAAAGGUUAUAUGACAGUACCCCAAAUGGUAUUAGAUGCUAAAUGACAGAUCUUAUUACAAUGGCCAUUAGUGGGAAACCUUUAUAACCUACACUUAGAGCCCUAGAGCAUGUGCAAUAUGCCAGAUAUGCUUUGAGAGCUAGUGGGAGAUUGUUGGGAAAAUAUGCUCUUUAAAAGCAUAUGUGUUUAUUUAAUUGUAAUAAACAUUUUUUCUGAUUAAUAAAAUAAAUGAGGUAUUUUAUUCAAAUAUCUUAAUUGCAUUAAUAUUUGUAUUAAAGUCCAUUUAAUCAUAUUAUAUGUAUUUAUGUGAUCACUAUGUGGAUUCACAGAAGACAUAAAUACAAGUUAUCUUAUGAUUAAAUAAAUUUAGUUCGCAGUUGAUAAAUAAAGUUGGGCACUUUAUUUAGGUAUAGACUGUAAUAAAUUCAUUGAAUGAUUUGUCUUAAUCAUGUAUGAAUUUAUUGAUGUAGUACGACUACAUUGAACAGGAUCACAUAUGAGAUUUAAUUAACUUUGUAAUAACUGUCAGACUUAUUAAAUCUCAUAGGCGUUGAUUUUACUGUAAUCUUAAUCUUGAGUUAAUUAUGAUUUCAUGAUUGUGAUUGUUAUUUCAUUUGAGUUACCAAUGGGCACGACACAUCCUUGUGGUCAAGAUUACCCGGUAUCUUGGUGGGAGCAAUUAUGAGUAUUGGAGUUAUGGAUUAACAAUAUAGAAUUUGUACAACACAUCUCUUGAUAGGUUUUCGGUACUUGAUCAUAAAAUUCUCUGGCCAGAGUGUAUCAACAUAUUUAGUAUGUUGAAAAUGAUCAUUAGAGAAAACCAGUAAGGAUCAAGGAAUAAGAUGUUAUUAAAUUGAUUGGACAGUUGAGAUAUCAAUUUAAUUAACGAUGUGGUACAAAGGAUUGUGUAGUAAAGAAAUCAAUGUGGCUUGGGACGAAUUAUUAUUCGAGCAUACAAUUAUGGAAGUCAGUUCCAAUCUUUUAGUGGAGUAGAUUUGGAAUUAAAUAAUUGGGCUAGUUUAAUUACAGGCCUAAUUAUUGUAGCCACUAUUGUAUGUUCCCAAAUGAUCCCCGGGUUAGCUCAUUUAAUUGACUGCACCACUACUGGACUAAUAAGUAAGAUAACUAGCUAUUUGGGUCAAAAGCCUAAAUAUAUCAUUUAGUGGGAGGCUCCAUUUAAUUAGCUUUUGUAUAAGGGGCCUUAUGUUAUUUUACAAGGUGGGUCCCCUAUUGAAAAAGAAAAUAACGUGAGUUUUAUGAAGGGUAUUACUAGGAGCCUAGGGUUUUCACUAAAGGGUGAUAUAAAAGGCUUAUUUUUCCCAAAAGAAAAAAGAGAAGCCACUUUAUACAAAUCAGAGAAUAAGAUUUUUCUCUCCAUUGUUGAGAGAAAAAUUUUCUCGUGCUAGUUGCUUUGGUAGUGAUAAAGGCGCCCACACGUCAAGUGCAGAUCGAACCUGAGUCAUAACCUGGAAGAUCAUAGGAGACAGUUCGUGAUCUAACAAGCGUGGUGGUGACGGAUCGUGAUCUAACAGGAGUGGUGGUGGCGGAUCGUGAUCUAGGAGCCUAAAUCACUUCAGCGGAAAAAGCAAACUCAGAUUUACAAGGUACGAUUUCUAGAAUACGAAUUCUUAUAUAUUAUAUGAGAGCGAUCUUCAAAAGGUUUUAUAAAAAAUUAAAAAUCUAAUUUUUCCCCAACAAAAGGUUUGUCCAUUUUCCUUUUUGCUGCAAUUCUGCAUUCUCAACGAAAGUAGUAUAGCAGUUUAUGCAGGCUUUCUACAUUUUUUUUUUUUCAGUUUCGGAGGAUUUGGUGGCAAAUUGAAAAGGAAACAGAGCAAGGUUACAACGUGCUACUGCAUGAUUUAUUUAUAUCUGGACACUAUUUUAAUGAAAAUACGAAUCUUGGCUAAGCAUUGUUCUCAAAUGGAACGCGAGUGAGAAAAGACAGCUGUUAGGUUCAUCAAGUCAACAAUUCUAUUAAUCUUUGCAAUACAUCAUUGCAUAUAUUUGCAAAUGACUUAAUGACAAAAUCAGUCAGCUGUAAAUUGUUAAAUCGUUUGUGUUUGAUUCAGAGCUACAUCAUCUGAAAGAAUCCUUUGGUCCUUCAAAUGAGUUGAUCAUCUCCCUUCAACGUAGCAACCAACGUAAAACCAUUAACAAUGGUACCUUGUCUAGCACACUGCAACAAGAAGCACAAUUUUUAGCUUCUUACAACUAUGAGAAGAACACUUUGUGGGGAAAACAGGCAAGUAAUAACCUCUGGGAAAACAUUGGGAUGCCGUUAAUAUUAUUAAGCAGAUACUGAUUAUGUCAUUGAAUCUUUGCUUUUGGUUUCAAACCAGAUAGGAUACUUGUACAAAUCUCUGAUAGAAGAUUAUUUUACCGGAUUGAUUUUGCACUGCAAAGGAUGGAAAUCCGUCUUUUGCAAUCCAUCACGGUCAGCAUUCUUAGGAAGUGCUACAUCAAGUUUGAAUGACACAUUGGUUCAAGACACAAGAUGGAACUGCGGUUUGCUUGAAGUCACCUUCUCAAAGUGCUCCCCUCCUCUUUAUGGGCUAUCAAGAAUGCCUUUGCUUCAAACAAUGUGCUAUAGCUACUAUGCUUUGCAGCCAUUCUAUUCCUUGCCGUUGUGGUGUUUAGCUUCUGUGCCUCAGCUGUGUCUCAUAAAUGAAAUUUCCUUGUACCCAAAGGUAACCAUUUCUAAAUCUAGAUUAGGAGGGAAUUUGGAAAUGCUUUGUCUUAUUGAUAUGUCUAAAACAUUGUAACUAUUUAUUUCUCUUCUACUCAGGUUUCAAGUCCAUGGUUUGUGAUCUUUUCAUCUAUUUUCUUAUGUUCACUACUGAAACAUUUGGUGGACGUUCUCGUCACCGGUGGUUCAGUCCAGACGUGGUGUAAUGAACAGAGGAUUUGGAUGAUAAAAUCACUCACUUGAAAUGUUUUUGUAUGAAACAACCUAGUUUCUCGCCCACAAAUAAACUUUCCGAUGAUGAACAAGUCAAGUUACACAAAAUGGGUAAAUUCAACUUCCAAACCUCAACCAAGUUUCUUGCUCCUUUAGCUACCCUAGUCAUGUUGAAUAUGAUUGCUUUUAGUGGAGGAAUUGCUAGAAUGGUGAUUUCGGGGGGCGCAAACGAGUUGCUUGGACAAGUUAUCCUCUCAUUUUACAUCUUACUGGAGAGUUACCCAAUAAUUGAAGGGAUGGCAUGGAGGAAGGAUAAAGGGCAAGUCCCAGCUUCUGUUGGGUUACUCUCUUUUGUUCUCUCCAUCAUUUUCUUGCUUUUGGGUUCCGUGGUUCUCAGGUUAAUUUGAAUUGUGCUAGAGGUUCAGAAUAAAAGCGAAAGGUCACAAUUAUGUGCUUCAUUUUUGAAAUAGUUAAUGCCCCCAUUAACUUCUUAUUGCUUUCAAAUGAUGCCGAUAAAGGCAACAGCCCUGUUUCACAGGAUGACCUAAUAAGAACAAAAUUGCAAAAUACUGGCACCUAUUGCUUAAUUGAAGGUCCUUGCGCUUGUUCAUGACACACUUAAGCUCAUUGACUGGGGGCACAAGAAAUUUCGAUACCUUGCAUAUCACCACUUAAUUUUGUUAAUUCAAAUUAAUUCUUGUUCCUUAUGCUGAAGUACAAACGAUUUAUAUUAACCAUUCAAUCAUUUUUCAUCUCUAAUUUCACCAUUUCACCAUUUCAUUUGGAAACAAUUUCACUUUAUAUUAACACCAAGUGCCCUUUUUUAUUCAAUUGAAUAUGCCACUCACAAUGCCCUUUCGUAAACAACCCAAUGCCCGAAAGAUUACAUCUCUCCUUGCUUCCAACGUACUGCAGCAAGAGACCGAAGUUUUAGCCUCCUGCAGUUACGAGCAUCAAACAAAAUGGGGUAAAGAGGCAAGCAACAAGCACAUCAUCUUAUCAACUUAAACAUAGUCAAGUCUUAAUUGCAUUACUAAAUCAUUAUCACAUGCCAUCACAUUACAUCUCUCCUUGCUUUCGAAAUCAGGUGGGUUUUUCGUAUCAAGCUGUUUCGGAAGAUUUCUUUAAUAGCAUUCUAUAAGAGAGAUUGUAUCAUUUUGAAGUUUGAAAUUUUGGAAGAAAACGGCUAUUGAAAUACUUUAUUUUAUUUUAAUAAUUAUGUUUAAACAUACCAAUUAAAAGAUAGUGUUAAGUGAUGCUAAUAUUAUCAUAUCGAAACAUCACGGUCUAUGCAAUUUAUUAAAUUUCAUCACUCAUACUCUUAAACUAAAUAUCAUCUCGGUCAAUAAAAUGAUGUCAAGUUAAACCUCUAUCUAUGUUAGGACAAUACAAUUUGUUAAUAUGAAAGAUCUAAAAGAGUGACGAUUGCUAUCAAUUAUGCCAUUACUGAAGUUAAAUCAUCAAAAGAAGUCUCAUUGUUCAAUUCCCUUUUCAUUAUUCUAAUCUAAGAAGCUCGAUCAAAAUUUAAUCAAUAAAAAUAAAUCAAAAGUCUAACAAAUUUUUACAAUUGUAAGGUUCUCACCAUUAGGUUAGUUGUUAUUGUUACUCCUAUUUAGAACCUAAGGUUGUUUAAGCAUAUUUUAGGUAUUAGAUGUUUUAAGUCCCCUCCUUCCAGACUUGGGAUUCUUAGAAACAACAAAAUAUGAUAAUAUUAUUGAAAAUAAGGGAAUUGCUAAAAGAUUAGCCUCUUUUGAAUGGUUUGGUUCUCAAUACAAGAUGUGAAGAAUACAAUGGAUAAUUACUUCAAAAUAGAGUGGAAGGAUCUUAAUAUAAUAAAAAAGUAACGCAAAGUUAUACUUUCUACCAUAUUGGGUAGUAAAAGGAUGAUAAUGAAAAUAAUUGGAUAGACACUAAAUAUAUAUGAUAUUUAUUCCUAUAUAAGAGACAAUUAAGUCUAGUAUGAAAGUUGGAAGUGUAACGGUGGAACAUACAUGUGCCCUCAAAUUGAGGGCACAAUUUCUUACCACCAUUAUUAUCUUAGACAUUUGAAUAAAGAAAAAUGAUAUUUGAGUAUUAAGAAGACAUUGCAAAGAUAGAAAGGACAGCUUUAUAGCAUGAACAAUAGCACUGUUUUUAUCUUCUUAGGCCAUGUUUGAAUGCUAGGAUUAAGUAAGAGAUUGAACUAAUUUUGAAAUUAAAUAUUUAUUUCAUAUUUGGCAAGCAGAGUUGGAUCGAACUAAGGAGGACUAAAUUUAAAUUUAGUCUUCAAAUCGUGAGAUUUGUAAUCUUAAUAUACUCAUGGAUUUAUUAGAAUAAAAUUAAGGAAAAAAGAAAGUUGUCCAUUUAUAAAAGUUUCAUUCAUAACAUUAUUUUUUAUUUAUACCGAAUAUCAAUCAAUCAAAUAAUUAAUUAAUUUUUUUUAUUUAUGAUUUACUUAAAAUUUAUUUUUUUAUUUAUUAUCUAUGAUCUAAUUAAAUUGGUAGUUUUACUUCUACUAGAUUAAAUUUUCAUUACUUGCAUUUAAUAAUUUUUCUAUAAAAUUAACCACUUAAUAAUUUAUUGCAUUAUUGAUUGUAAUAAAUUUAAUAAUCACUAAUACAAUACUAAAUUGAUCUUUUCACACUUUUAGUAGAUAAAUUAAAAAUUGUCUCUAAGUAGGGGUACCCUUUCUCAAAUCCUUUUUAGAGUUGACCAUGGCGAUAAAAUGGAGAGUUAAGAGCAUAACAAAGUCAAGAAAUAAAUGAAAAUAUAUUAAAAUUUGAUGUUGAAGAUCAGCCUUAGGACAUAAAAUUACACAGCACAGAUCUAGGCUCUUGAAUUUCAUACGACUCGUCUUUUCUGAAGUAUAAAUAUAAAUAAGAGACUAUGUAAAAUUUCUAGAUAGGGCCAAUCAAAGAGACAUCAAAUUUAAGGUUGAUUUAUAAUUAAUUAAUUAAUGCUUCGUUGAACUUACUUUAAACAUAAAUCAAGGGGUAUGUAGAUUACUUCAGUGAAUACAAUAAAGGAUGAGAAACUCACAGUAUAUUUUGUGUUCAUUUCCUUUGGUGAUUCACAUCCUUAUCUCGCAUUAUUCUCGAUUGUUCUUGGCCCAAGCCUUCUAGAGGCUCUCAUGUCAACCUCAUUUGCAGCAAAUCUUCGAUUACGGUUUCCCCGCCAAAACCACUUCUAUGGGGCAUUCUGUCGAACACCUAUGGACAUAUAUCAAACACCAUACUUUUAACUGUUACUAAUGUUGUGUAUGAUACAAUAAGCAUGGCAACCACAAAUUCAAUUGCUUUGCUCUUGUUGAAAAUAAGAAAGAACUGCAAACAGAGCUUGCACCAUCGUUAGGAGAAGUAUGGCAAAAGCAGCAAGAACGGAGAUGAUUGCCCACGGAGUGUUGAAAUAAUUGUGCCUCAAAUUGGCCAUCCACUUAUUACGACGCCUGCUGCGAUGGAAGUUCACUUUGUUAAAUACCUCCCAGUAAUAGAACUGCUUACCGAGUACAGCACCAUCACCAAGCUUGUGAAUUAAGGUUACAAUCACUUCAUCAUCUCCUAAAAAAUUAUCAAUUAUUCCACGAUGACGAAGUAAUUCAGCAUCCUUUGAAGAGUUGAUGAGGCAGCCCAACAAUUCAACAUAAUCUAUUACAUGCUUCGGAUUUAUGUCUUGGGAACACUGCUCAAAUGUAAUGAGAUUCUGAAAAAUGGUUUCUGUAGCAUCAGUAAUUUCCAGGGAUGGGAUCAUCAUUACCCCAUUUUCGAACUUAAUGUCGAACAAGGAAUCAUCCUUAUGGACCUCAAACAUCUGGAACU
rnacentral:lncRNA from 1 species